UACAUAGAAUAGAAUCAUAGAACUGCAGAGCUGAAAAGGACCCCAAGGGUCAUCUAGUUUAACUUCCUGCAACGCAGUAAUCUCAACUAAAGCAUCCAUGACAGAUGGGCAUCCAACUUCUGCUUAAAAACUUCAAAUGAAGGAGAGUUCAACACCUUCUGAGGGAGUCCAUUCCACUGUUGAACAGCUCUUGCCGUCAGAAAGUUCUUCCUGAUGUUUAGUCAGAACCCCUUUUCUUGUAACUUGAAUCCAGUGGUUUGAGUCCUGCCCUCCAGAGCAGGAAAAAACAAGCUUGCUCCAUCUUCUGUGUAACAGCCCUUUGGGUAUUUGAAGAUCUUUAUCCUAUCUCCUCUCAGUUUCUUCUUUUCCAGGCUAAGCAUACCCAACUUCUUCAACUGUCCCUCAUAAGGCUUGGUUUCCAGACCCUUGAGCCUCUUGGUCACCCUCCUCUGCACAUGCUCCACAUUCUCAAUUUAAAUGAUCAAGCGUUCCAAAAAGACUGGAGUAAAUUUAUACAAUAUUUGAAGGAUCAUUGUAAACAACUAAGAACUCUAGCAGGGUUGUAAGAAGACUUGUAAUGACAAUUGUUAUUACCUUUUUAUAUUUAUUUAUAAGUUGGGAUUUUUUAUUUAGUGAAACAUAAAUUGGAAAAUAUACAAAUGCUAUGAUGUAUAAUAUUAAUGUUGAAAACCAAAAGGCAGGAGGGAGGGAAGUCGACAAGCUCAUAAGAGCAAAAGUAUAAAGUGGAUAAUAAGAAUGUGUCAUAAUUGUUAUAAAAUGGAAACUUAAUAAUAAUAUUAGGUCCCUUAUCUUAUAUUUGCACAGCUGGCUCUUCCUGGCUAACUGUAGAACCUUACAUUUGCCCCUAGAAAAAUCCAUUUUGUUGAUUUUGGCCCAUUCUCCAAUCUGUUAAAGUCUUCUUGAAUUCCAAUUCUGUCUUCUGCAGCAUUAGCUACCCCUCCCAGUUUGGUGUCAACUGCAGAUUGGAUGAGCAUCCCUUCAAUUCCUUCAUCUAAAACAUUUAUAAAGAUGUUGAACAAUCACUGGCCAAGGAGGGAGCCCUGAGGCACCCCACUUACCACUUUGUUCCAGAAUGAGGAGGAACCAUUAGUUAUCACUCUUUGGGUUUGGUCAGUCAACCAGCUAAAAAUCCACCUAAUAGUUACCUUGUCCAGCCCACAUUUUACCAGCUUCUCAGCAAUACUAUCAUGAGGAAUUUUGUCAAAAGCCAUACUGAAAUCAAAAUACACUAUGUCCACAAUAUUCCCCUGAUCCACCGAGCUUGUAACUAUAUUUAAAAAAUGAGAUUCUUCUGGCAUGACUUGUUUUUGAGAAACCCAUGCUGGUAAUCACAGCAUCCUUUUCAAAGUACUCUCAGAAUGACUAUUUAGUUUUGCGUACUAGGACCUUUUCUGUUAUUGACGUCAAGCUCACCAGUCAGUAGUUACCUGGGUCUUCUCCCCCCCUUUUGAAGAUGGGGACAACAUGUGCCCACCUCCAGUCUUUAGGGACCUCACCUGUUCUCUGAGAGUUCUCAAAGAUUAUAGACAGAGGCUCUGAGAUUAUAUCAGGGGAGGGAUAUUUUCAGGAAAGUGAGGGGAAUUUUGCCUAAGCCUUAAAUUAUCUGGCAAGCAGAACAAGAACUUGGGUCAUAAAUUAAGCUCUAAACAUUGCCUUUUGGAAUACUUAAAUGCUCUGUAAACAAUACAGUGUGGUUGAAACCUACAAUCAUUACUGGUACUUCCACAGAACCACCAUACCCAAAACACUCUCUCCUUAUUUUGAGAAGACAGUAGGUAGAACAGUUGGAAUUAUGCUUCCUGUUAAGUCCUGCCUUUCUCCCUACAGCCAUUUUUCUUUUUCUUUUUUAAUGGUGUCUAUGUGAGAAUUUUUACGAAGAGUCAUAUAUCAUAGAGGUGCUCCUAGGAAAGUAAUCAGCAACAUUUUAGAGGAUGGGGGCAGAGAUAAGGGAGUUAUGAUUUUUAAAAGCUGCCUCAGGCUUGAGCUCUGCUCAGUUGACACAAAAUGUCAGAGAAACCAAGUGCAUAGUUGAUUUGAUGGGAGUGGAUGCGUGAGCAGGUGGCCCAGAGGCAAAAGGCCUUGAAUGUCCAGCACUUCCCAAGCAAGAGCACCAUGAGAUGAUCAAGCAAAGGGCACAAGACAGAUAAGAACAAGGCAACAUCAUUGCUUCAACAUCCUGUUUCCAAGGCACUGUGGCUAGGAAGUCCUGCUAAAGCCAAUCCCUUUGCUCAGAUGCUAGACCUGUCAACUACAUAAAAUCUCCCCACCUCUCUCCCCACUCUGACAUUUUCCAAGCUUGGGAGUUUCCAGGUUUUGCAGGAACCUGUCUGUAGUAUUUUCCCAACGUCUUCUAUUUCUUAAGUGCUCUGAAGCACUUCUGUUUUGGACGAGGGUGCGUUAGGGAGAUUCUGCUUUGGCUUGGACAAGAAACACUUUUGGUUCUUGAUCCAGGAUUCAUUUGAAUAUUUCACAUAUUCCUGGUUUAUUUGUGUUAUACACAACCAACAUCUCCAAGUGGUGAGAGACUCUGGGGUUCCAGGCUCAGUUUCAGUUCCAGGCUCAGUUUCCUCGGAAUGAAGAGUCUGUGAUUAGUGGAGGAUAUAUGAUUUUAUUUACACAUAUACACAACCUGAGAAUAGGAGGGAGGGGCUGACAGCAUCCACACCCCCAAAGACCUUGAUUCUCCAUUAAUAAGAUAUUUGGAUCCUUCACAGAGCAAGCAUGUCUCUGUGUCUCCAGCUUCCAGCCUAUUUCUCGCCCUGCUUACACACAACUCUCUGGCUUUUGCUCUCUUAACUAACAGCAACAUGAGGGUGCAGGAAGGACCACCCAUUUGUUCUAGGGCGUAGAGCACCUUCUUUGGUUAUGCUAAUUGUAGUGCUUAGCUAAUCAGUCAAAGCCAUUACGUAGACAAGGGACUAUUGUAUGUGCUGAUUAAAUUUCCAUGUCGUUUUUUGUUUUUGUUUUUUGCAUUAGUGCGAUUGAGAUGCUUUUGUAUUUUGGGGGCUCUUCAUUUUCCAUGUAAAUAAUUUCUUUCAUUCUUUUUUAAAAAAAUAUACAGAAUUACUUUAAUUUAAUACAAUUUAUUAGAAUCAGUUUUCCCGCUCCUGUUGCAAACAUAUGUCCAUCAUUUCACCCCACAGCCUCAUCAUUUCUUAUUUAGUGUCCAGUUGUCAUCCAUCACUUGCCAUUAAACCAUUCUUCCAGCUGACCACUUUUUCCUCCUUACAAACAGCACCUCUGUUAUGUCUUAUAAAUAUAAAAUCCAGUUCACGUGUAUAGUCCUUCACAUACAUUUUGUUCCAGACCUGGUGUUCUGAGAGUUCAUUACUAUCUUCCAUUGUUCUGUUCUUUGCAGUGUUUAUCUGGAUGGUACAAGGCCACAUUGCAUUCCUUCCUCUGUUUACAGAUUAGCAAAGAGCUGCAGCCAUAAAUAACUCACAGGGUUCACUUCCAGGUUUAUGCUAUUAAAUUCCUCUCUGGAGUUCUUUCUCAGCACACAGUUAAGAGCAAGAUCUGAUCUUUUCUCAAAUUCAGCCUUUUUUCCACAUCUGUUCAGCUGCAGAUCAUUCUCUCCCGCUGCCCCCCCCCGUAUACCUGUGACAACACGCCUGCUCAGAAAUGAUUGUUGAUAAAAUCCAUUCAGCCUCAAUCGGGGGGGGGGGGGCAUAGCAAAACCUUAUUAAAUUCAUUCUUGAUCAUAAAUCAAAAGCCUCUCCCCUCUUUUUCAAAGUGUCAGGCAGAGUAGCUACAGCUGCAUAUGUCUCUUUCAUUGUGCAGGGAAGGUCAAGAAAAGGAAAGACCAUUUGAAAACCAUAAGAAAGCACAAUGCACCUUUACCUCCCCCUUCCUUUCUUGACUGUUGUAAAGAUUCUCAAGCUUCAGAAAAACAUUCAAAUGCCUUCAGAGAGCCAAGCACCCUCCUUUCAGCAGCUGAUUUACUGCAGCCCAUUAGCAUAUGUCAGUCCAGGAGAGCCUCUUGAUUAAAGCCAAUUGUCCAAAUUAAGGAGGAACCAUCCACAAAUCAUGCCAGUAAUGGAGGCUUAUCCAUGGCAGGGACACACUCCCAAGUCGCUCCCGCUCUGCCUUUCAAGUUGGCAGACACAAGAUUGCAUGACACUGCAGGAUGCAGUGAACUCCCCAGAUCCCACUGAGGAGCAUCGCAAGGAUUUUUGCCUCAGAAAUCCUCCUUUUUCCCUGCCUGAACUUCCUUGCAACCCAUGGAGGGCUGCAAAGAACAACCACCAUUGACUCAUGACAUAGCAGGAAACCCCAUGUAGAUCAUUUCUAGCAACUUCCCCCAAGGCCAAAAACAAACAAAUAUAAACAGCAGAACUGUUCUUUUCUUUUCACAAGUUAGCAAUGCUAUUUCAACAUCUGUUAUCUCUCACAGCCUACAAGUUCUUUCCUAUAAAAAGAAUCCCAAUGGCAUUUCCUAUAGAAUGCCAUCCCAAUGGAAUUGUAUUUUAAGGCAUAACACACACACACAUACACACACACACACAAAAUAACAUUUUACUCCAGAUAAUUGAAUCCCUUCAUCCCAUACUUUCCAAUCACUAAAACAUAUUAUAAUCUGGAGAGUAGGAACCUGGCUCAGUUGGCCUUUUUUCUGACAAGGCCCUCAUGACCCGAACACCUGCAUGGCAGGUGGUUGUUCAGCAGAUGAAGCCUUCCCCAUCUCAGUGCCAGUAAAAGGCCCAGAAGAUUCAGGUAUGCCUGCCCUGCAAAGGUGAAGAAAACGGGUAACAGAACUUGAAUCAAAACUAAAAAAAAAUCUGUUUGGAGAUUAUAUUGUUCCCCCCACCCCUAUGAAUUUGAACUGAACUUGACAUCUAUAAGGGCCAUACUUGAUGUGACAACAGAGAUGCAGGUCAGGAAGGAAGAAGCAUCCAUGUGCCUGUAAUAGCAGCCAUGGAGGGACAGUUUGAAUCAAAACAGUGGCAGCAAAGGCAGUCCACCAGCCAUGCAGGAAACAUUAUACUUUUGCUACCUUCCUGGGAUUGGCAAAACAAAUACACUGCCGGGCGCAGGGUUUGCCUUCAAUUUUGGUGGGUCAAAACUUGGAAGUUGUUCAGAGUGCAUCAGUCCAUGCCAGUUGGAACAAGUUUGCUUUUUUCUGAUCCAAAGGGUAGGACCUGAACCAAUGGAUUCAAAUUACAAGGAAGGAGAUUCCAACGAAGCAUUAGGAAUCAGUUUCUGACUGUUAGAGCUGUUGGACAGUGGAACGGUCUCUCUCAGAAGGUGGUGGAUUUUCUUUCAUUGGAGGUUUUUAAACCACCUGUCAGGGAUUCUUUAGCCACAAUUCUUGCACAGCAGGGUGUUGAACUAGAUGACACUUGAGUUUCUUUCCAACUCUAAGGUUCUAUGAUUCUAUGAAACAGGUCGGUGCUUGAACCAGUUACUGAGUAAUUUUUCAAAACUAGUCAGUUGUAUAAAACCAAGACAUGCUCAGAGUAGGUCCAUUUAAACCAGUCAAGUAUCUGAACCAGUCAGAAAUGCUGAUGAACCUGAACCAGAACUGAACCCAAAUGUUUUGCUCCUUGCUGUGGACCUUUGCCCCCACAUUCCCAUCCCCUUGCUUUUCAGCCACAUUGCAACUGUGAC
rnacentral:lncRNA from 1 species